rnacentral:rRNA from 1 species
UACGUAGGGGGCAAGCGUUGUCCGGAAUCAUUGGGCGUAAAGAGCGUGUAGGCGGCUCGGUAAGUCCGACGUGAAAUCCCCAGGCUUAACUUGGGAACUGCGUCGGAUACUGGUGGGCUUGAAUCCGGGAGAGGGAUGCGGAAUUCCAGGUGUAGCGGUGAAAUGCGUAGAUAUCUGGAGGAACACCGGUGGCGAAGGCGGCAUCCUGGACCGGCAUUGACGCUGAGUGAGCGAAAGCCAGGGGAGCAAACGGG